CAUCACAGAUCCAGGUAAUGGAUUGAUGUUCGCUGCCUUCUAAGAGUCUAGAUCUAUCACAGAUUUACUCAGGUACAUGCAAAAGAUCCAAGAAUUUUUGAUAGGUGCAGUUAGGAUUUCCUAACAAGUCUUGGGCUGUGCAUGAGAUAUAAGAGAGUGGGAGUCACGUGAAGUAAAGAAACUGAGAGAGAGGGUGUGCAGAAAUUGAGUUUGUGCAUGAGAGGAGUUAGGCAUGUGGAAAUG
rnacentral:lncRNA from 1 species